rnacentral:rRNA from 1 species
CCCUUAGAGUUUGAUCCUGGCUCAGAUUGAACGCUGGCGGCAUGCCUUACACAUGCAAGUCGAGCGGCAGCGCGGGGGCAACCCUGGCGGCGAGCGGCGAACGGGUGAGUAAUACAUCGGAACGUGCCCAGUAGUGGGGGAUAACCUCUCGAAAGAGAGGCUAAUACCGCAUACGACCUACGGGUGAAAGCGGGGGACCGCAAGGCCUCGCGCUAUUGGAGCGGCCGAUGUCGGAUUAGCUAGUUGGCGGGGUAAAGGCCCACCAAGGCGACGAUCCGUAGCUGGUCUGAGAGGACGACCAGCCACACUGGAACUGAGACACGGUCCAGACUCCUACGGGAGGCAGCAGUGGGGAAUUUUGGACAAUGGGCGCAAGCCUGAUCCAGCCAUGCCGCGUGAGUGAAGAAGGCCUUCGGGUUGUAAAGCUCUUUCGGCGGGGACGAAACGGUCCGUGCCAACACCACGGACUAAUGACGGUACCCGCAGAAGAAGCACCGGCUAACUACGUGCCAGCAGCCGCGGUAAUACGUAGGGUGCAGGCGUUAAUCGGAAUUACUGGGCGUAAAGCGUGCGUAGGCGGUUUGUUAAGACAGGUGUGAAAUCCCCGGGCUUAACCUGGGAACUGCGCUUGUUACUGGCAGACUUGAGUGU